AUACGUAGGUGGCAAGCGUUAUCCGGAAUUACUGGGUGUAAAGGGCGCGCAGGCGGCCCUGCAAGUCGGAUGUGAAAGAUCAAGGCUCAACCUUGACAGGCCAUUCGAAACUGUGGGACUUGAGUGUCAGAGGGGAAAGUGGAAUUCCUAGUGGAGCGGUAAAAUGCGCAGAUAUUAGGAGGAACACCGGUGGCGAAGGCGACUUUCUGGCUGACAACUGACGCUGAGGCGCGAAAGCGUGGGGAGCAAACAGGAUUAGAUACCCUGGUAGUCCACGCCGUAAACGAUGAUUACUAGGUGUAGGGGGUAUCGACUCCCUCUGUGCCACAGUUAACGCAUUAAGUAAUCCACCUGGGGAGUACGGCCGCAAGGUUAAAACUCAAAGGAAUUGACGGGG
rnacentral:rRNA from 1 species